AGUAGCCGGCCGGUCCAUCUACGCGGUCUAUAAGAAUCCUGGCCUACGACAUAUAUGGGCUAAGGAAACGAAUGAUUUGCCUCUGCCCUUUUCCGUUCUGGUAAAAUUUCGUGUAUUAGUUUUUCAGCAGUAGCAAUCCGUAUUGAAUUUUGCUAGCUCCGCAGUUGGAGCAGUUGAAUUCUUUCGUUCAAAGCAUACAAGGUGUUUGCUCGUUGGCCUGAGAGAACUAUUUUUGAGAGAAAAGCCGAGCGACCUCGUUUUAAGAAAAUUGAAACCAGCUAGAGAAUCAAGAAUGAAGUUACUAGCUCUUCUUCUUCUUCUUGUUCUUACACUAGUCACCUAUGGCUCAGCUGUGUGUACUUUGGCCAUAGAAGUUCACACAGAUGCACAGAACUAUCAGCAUGAAGUGGAAAAGAAGUUAUUAGAAGAGACUGGGAAGGUCAAGGCUGCACUUGAAUAUUCUGGAAGUACUGUCGACAACCACCAUAAUAUACCUAGGAACCAAUAUGACAGCCGCACUGGAGGCAACACCGAGGACCCCCCUGAAGGAGAUUAUAAUAAUCAAGGAAAUGGCACUGGUGACGCUAAUAACUUACUAGGAUAGAAUUUGAUUGGAACAAUUUGUCUUGCUGUUGAAUAUGUUUUGUUUGUUAACUUGUUAUAAAAGGUGCGUGGUAAGAAUUAUCGUGUGAUAUAUGCUAUAUGUUAGCUAGUGGAAGCUUUUCGUAUCUGAAAGUAUGUGAAGUUGAGCAUCGUGUGAUAUGCUAUAUGUUAGCUAGUGGAAGCUUUUCAUUUCUGAUAGUAUGUGAAGUUGAGCUUCAGUGUGAAA